rnacentral:rRNA from 1 species
AGCGAACGCUGGCGGCAGGCCUAACACAUGCAAGUCGAACGAACCCUUCGGGGUUAGUGGCGGACGGGUGAGUAACACGUGGGAACGUGCCUUUAGGUUCGGAAUAACGCAGGGAAACUUGUGCUAAUACCGAAUGUGCCCUUCGGGGGACAGAUUUAUCGCCUUUAGAGCGGCCCGCGUCUGAUUAGCUAGUUGGUGAGGUAAUGGCUCACCAAGGCUACGAUCAGUAGCUGGUCUGAGAGGAUGACCAGCCACAUUGGGACUGAGACACGGCCCAAACUCCUACGGGAGGCAGCAGUGGGGAAUCUUGCGCAAUGGGCGAAAGCCUGACGCAGCCAUGCCGCGUGGAUGAUGAAGGUCUUAGGAUUGUAAAAUCCUUUCACCGGUGAAGAUAAUGACUGUAGCCGGAGAAGAAGCCCCAGCUAACUUCGUGCCAGCCGCCGCCGUAACAC